rnacentral:tRNA from 1 species
CGGAUAGCUCAGUCGGUAGAGCAGGGGAUUGAAAAUCCCCGUGUCCUUGGUUCGAUUCCGAGUCCGGGC